rnacentral:rRNA from 1 species
CACUCCUGCGGGAGGCAGCAGUGGGGAAUUUUACGCAAUGGGGGAAACCCUGACGUAGCGACACCGCGUGAGCGAAGAAGCCCUUUGGGGUGUAAAGCUCUGUCAGCUGGAACGAAAACAAUGACGGUACCAGCAGAGGAAGCAUCGGCUAACUACGUGCCAGCAGCCGCGGUAAGACGUAGGAUGCGAGCGUUGUCCGGAUUUAUUGGGCGUAAAGAGUUCGUAGGUGGUUUGUUAAGUUUGGUGUUAAAGAUCGGGGCUCAACCCUGGGACUGCACUGAAUACUGGCAGACUCGAGUGUGGUAGAGGCUAGUGGAAUUCCCAGUGUAGCGGUGAAAUGCGUAGAUAUUGGGAAGAACACCGGUGGCGUAGGCGACUAGCUGGGCCAUAACUGACGCUGAGGAACGAAAGCCAGGGGAGCGAAUGGGAUUAGAAACCCCAGUAGUCCCA